rnacentral:rRNA from 1 species
GACGAACGCUGGCGGCGUGCUUAACACAUGCAAGUCGAACGAAGUGGCGCAGGUGUGAGUAACGCGUAAUCAACCUGCCCUUCAGAGGGGUACACCAGUUGGACCGGACUGAUAAUACCGCAUACUGAAGGAGGGUUGUGCGUCUGAUUAGCUAGUUGGGGGGGUAACGGCCCAACAAGGCGAUGAUCAGUAGCCGGUCUGAUAGGAUGAACGGCCACAUUGGGACUGAGACAAGGCCCAGACGCCUACGGGAGGCAGCAGGGGGGAAUCUUCCGCAAUGGAGGAAAGUCUGACGGAGCAACGCCGCGUGAGUGAUGACGGCCUUCGGGUUGUAAAGCUCUGUUAAUCGGGACGCGGUACCGGAAUAGAAAGCCACGGCUAACUACGUGCCAGCCGCCGCGGUAAUAC